AAGUCGUAACAAGGUUUCCGUAGGUGAACCUGCGGAAGGAUCAUUACAUUCAGUAGCCCAGCUACUUGUUUACACCCUUGUUUUUUUUGCGUACCUAUCGUUUCCUCGGCGGGCUUGCCUGCCGGUUGGACAACUUUAUAACCUUUUUAAAUCUUCAAUCAGCGUCUGAACAAUAUACAAUAAUUACAACUUUCAACAACGGAUCUCUUGGUUCUG
rnacentral:misc_RNA from 1 species